CCUACGGGUGGCAGCAGUCGAGAAUCAUUCACAAUGGGGGAAACCCUGAUGCUGCGACGCCGCGUGGGGGAAUGAAGGUCUUCGGAUUGUAAACCCCUUUCAUGUGGGAGCAAAUUAAAAAGAUAGUACCACAAGAGGAAGAGACGGCUAACUCUGUGCCAGCAGCCGCGGUAAUACAGAGGUCUCAAGCGUUGUUCGGAAUCACUGGGCGUAAAGCGGGCGUAGGCGGUUUCGUAAGUCGUGUGUGAAAGGCGCGGGCUCAACCCGCGGACGGCACAUGAUACUGGGAGACUAGAGUAAGGGAGGGGGAACCGGAAUUCUCGGUGUAGCAGUGAAAUGCGUAGAUAUCGAGAGGAACACUCGUGGCGAAGGCGAGUUCCUGGACAUUAACUGACGCUGAGGCACGAAGGCAAGGGGAGCGAAAGGGAUUAGAUACCCCUGUAGUC
rnacentral:rRNA from 1 species